rnacentral:rRNA from 1 species
UGCAACUCGCCUGCAUGAAGUUGGAAUUGCUAGUAAUCGCGAAUCAGAAUGUCGCGGUGAAUACGUUCCCGGGCCUUGUACACACCGCCCGUCACACCAUGAGAGUCGAUAACACCCGAAGCCUGUGAGCUAACCUUUAGGAGGCAGCAGUCGAAGGUGGGGUUGAUGAUUGGGGUGAAGUCGUAACAAGGUACC